UGCAUACAUGUAUUAUGUACCAAUGUGAUUGAUUUGAUAGAAUAAAGUUGAAUUGAAAAGUUGAAUUGGACUAGACUGUUCCACUAAGGUUAUAGGGCUUUGCUUAAUUAGUCCCUAAGCUGACUGUAAGAACUGGAACCGUAAGAACGGGUGUGUAACAAAUGAGAUGUGUAACAAAUAUGAGACAACCCCUCAACGCUUUCUGUUGCGUAAUCUUACGUAAGUUCCUUGGUAGCGUCCCACGAGUUGCUAGCAUUUAGGAUGUGAGAUAGGUCUACUUAGAAUACGUUCAAACGUUCGUAUUGUACAAGCAACUCCUGGGUGACAAAGACAAACGUUACGAUUUCCUGGUAAAGGUGUGUUGCAAUCAAGUCGUAUCGUGUGACAUCGCCUCAGCAGUUCAUUCGAACGGCUCUGUACGAUUACAUCAUAUCGUGUGGCGUCGUCUUUAGUAACAAGUCUAUUAAUUAUUUGUCAUGGAGUUCUUUAGUUUAAAAUGGAUGUGAUUGUUUGCACCAAACCGCCCGUAGCACAAAGGGAAUCAAUAUCCACAGUUGCGGAUCCAGCGUGAACUCGAACGAGGCUGUGAAGCUGCCGGAUGGGGAGGAGAGGUGGUGUUCCUGUUUGACCUGCAUCCACACCAUGGUUACAGAUUAGUGCGGAAAGAGGCAGCGACAGGUCAGGUGAAGGACCGGCCUAGGCCAGGACGACAUAAGAACAUUAGUAGGGCCGAAUAGAGAAAAUCGUGCCUCAGAUCGACUUGCAACACUGAGACCCUGCACCAACGCAACCGUCCUCCGUGAACUAUGGGGACAUACAGCCGGAUAUCCACCAGCACGGUCAGAAGAAGCCUUCGUGCGGUUGGAAUGAGAUCACGGCGACCUAUCACCAGACUUUGCUGGUGUAACGGUAGAGCGGCCUGGAACAUCAGACCAUGGCGCAGACAAUGUGCACUAGUACGAUGAAAGCCGGAUCCUGUUCAACACGACUGAUGGCAGAACAGGAAUUUAGAGACAUAGAGGAACUACAUAUGACCAGCACAACACCCAGGAGGCAGUUGCUUUUGUGGAGGGUCCCUCGUGGUGAGGGGGUGAUAUUCCUACGACUGUAAGUUAAACCUGGUGGUGUUGCGUGGAACAGAAAUACCACACAGACAGUUUGGAUACCGAAGUUAUUCCACACUUUGAUAACCAAUCAUAUACAUGUACUUGCAACAUGUCCCAUAUUCAUGGAUGAUAACGCCAGGUCACACAGAGCGCGAGCAGUGCUCCAGCAUGUAAAGACGACUGCCAUUGAGCAGAGUCCUGAUCUUAAUCCUAUGAAACAUUUGAGGGAUAUUUUGGGUCGCAAACUGAAAGUUAAAGAACACCCAGUGCAGAAUAUUCAGAACUUGCCCAAGCACUGCAUGGACAAUGAUACAGGAUCCCACAACUGACGACCAAACGACUCAUCAGUAGUAUGAGUAUACGUGUCCAGAAUGUCGUCCAUGUAACAGGUAGUACACCAGGUACCGAAGAUGUCGCAUGUUAGUGGAAAUGAUUUUGAUGCUAAACAUUCUCAUACUAGGUUCGAAACGAUUUCAUAAGUGCACUUCCGCUCUCUGACAUACUUAGUUUGAUCAUAUAUACCCUGAUUUCACAUGUUUGAAUGAAAUAUCAAUACAGAUAAAUGUGGCAUUUUACAAUUAUAAUAUUGAUUAUUAUAUUAAAUUAACUUUAUAGUGGGUUUUUUAAUUAUUUGUAAUUGCAAAAAUAGAAGAAAAAAAUAGACCCUAGACACUUCCUUUUUUCUGUUAUAACUGACUAUUUACUUCUGACUAAAGUGUAUAUCCUCCAUAAACUUUAGUUACUCCAUUGUAAUUGCAUAAAAGGUUUGUAGAAAAUAAACUGUAUUAACAAUGUUACCAACUCUUUCUAGAAACAUUACUCAUGGAAAUAAGGGGGAAAAGUAUAUCUUUUUCCGUGUAUAAGAAAAAAUUAAACACCGAAUUAGAACAAACUAUAUGUGAUGAAAUAAAAGCUUUAGAGGAAAACGAACAUGUAGUUGACUGGAAAAGAAUCGAAAGCAAAAAGUCUGAAUUAUUAGAAUUACGUAAAGAAAAACUCAAAGGUCAUUAUAUUAGGUCAAGGUCACAAUGGAUAGAAGAAGGCGAAAAACCAACUAAGUAUUUUUGCAAUUUAGAAUCUCGUAAUUAUUUCAGUAAAUUAAUAUCAAAAAUUCAGUUAGAUAAUGGAAUAGAAAUUAAGGAUCAGAAGCAAAUUUUAAAAGAAACAAAGAAAUUUUACCAAAAUCUUUAUUCCGCACCAUCGUGGCAAAAUGAUGAUGAUAUUAUUAAAAAACUAUCUCACUUUAGUUUUAAUAAAUUAACUGAUAAAGAAGCUGAAAUAUUAGAGGGUGAAAUAAAAUAUACGGAGGUAUUAACAUUUCUUAAAGCUAUGAAAAAUUACAAGAGCCCGGGGUCUGAUGGAUUUACGGCUGAAUUCUUUAAAAUGUUUUAGAUGGAUUUAGGACACUAUAUAAUUAGAUCUAUCAACUAUAGUUACACUAUUAAAGAAAUGUCUCAUGUACAAAAGCUAGGUAUUAUAACAUGUAUCCCAAAACCUAAUAAAUCAAAAGAAUUCUUAAAAAAUUGGCGACCUUUAACCCUUUUAAACUGUACUUAUAAAAUGGCGUCAGGAUGUAUCGCGAAUAGAAUUAAAACCGUUUUGGAUAAAUUAUUAGACAAAGACCAAACUGGUUUCGUUAAAGGAAGAUACAUUGAGGAAAAUAUUAGAUUAAUCUAUAACAUUAUGUUAUACACAGAAGAACAUGAUAUUCCUGGAUUACUGCUACUAAUUGAUUUUGAAAAAGCAUUCGAUUCUUUAUCUUGGUCGUUUAUAUAUAAAGUGUUAGAUAUAUUUAACUUUAAAACAUCCAUUAAAAACUGGAUAAAAAUGUUUUACAAUAAUUCUUUAUCUAGUGUAAUACAGAAUGGAUUUUUAUCUGAAGCUUUCAAAUUAGAAAGGGGUUGUAGGCAAGGAGAUCCUCUGUCUCCUUAUAUAUUUAUUCUGUGUGCUGAAGUACUUGCAAUUAUAAUAGAAACUCUAGCAAUAUUAAGGGAAUCAGUAUUGAUGGCGAAGAAUAUUUAAUUUCGCAAUAUGCAGAUGACACAAGUUUCAUUCUUUAUGGUUCUCCCGAGUCUCUGUACAAUACAUUGACGGUUUUAGAUUAUUAUGCAUAUAUAUCAGGCCUAAAAAUUAAUUUUUCUAAAUCAAAAGCUAUAUGGAUCGGAAAGAAAAAGUUUUCUAAGGAUGUGUUCCAUCGUACGCGGUGGAAGUUAGAAUGGGGCGCAACACAAUUUAAUUUGCUCGGUAUCAACUUCGCAGUUAACAUGGAACAAAUAAUUGCACUGAACUAUGAUUCUAAAAUAAUAGAAAUGCAAAAAUUAAUGAGGUUAUGGUCUGUUAGAAGAUUAACAGUUUUAGGAAGAAUAACAAUACUGAAAACUUUAAUAAUGCCAAAGCUAACCCAUCUGUUAAUAGCGCUACCAAAUCCAAAUGACAAAUUGAUAAAAAAUGUAAAUACAUUAUUUUUUAAAUUUAUCUGGCAGAGCAAUACUGAAAAACUGAAACGGAAUCUAAUAAUACAAAAUUACAAAACAGGUGCUAUUAAAAUGAUAAACAUAUCAAAUUUUAUAACAGCCUUAAAAUGCACGUGGAUUCAAAGAAUGUUUUUAAAUAACUCAAAGUGGAUAACUUUGUUUAAAUCGGUUACAAACAUAUCUUUAAAAGACUUGAUUAUACAAGGCGAUUAUUUCCUAAUGCAAAAUAUUGAACACGUCCGAAAUACGUUUUGGAGAGACACCUUGUUCAGCUCGUUAGAGAUACACAAAUAUCAAAAACCACAAAAUGUUGAGGAUAUUUUAAGCAUUAAUAUUUGGUAUAAUAGCAAAAUAUGUAUAGGUCACAAACCAUUUAUAUACAAAAUUUAUAUAGAUAACGGUAUUAUAUUUAUAAAUGAUUUAUUAAAUGAACAAGGUGAUUUUUAUACAUACGAACAGUUUGCAACAAAAUAUCAUAUAAAUACAAACUUCUUAGAAUAUGCUUCACUUACAAGUCAUGUCAUGUCAUAGGGUUUUACGUGCACAUUCAGAGAAAGCUGUUGUAGCGCACGCCUGUCGUGGGCGCAAGAGCCGGCCUUGGCCGGCUCUUCUGUCCAUGACAGGAAAGACUUACAAGUGCUAUUAAAUCAUUUAUAAACAAGAUUGGAACAAUAAGGGAUGACACGUUCACAAUUCUAAAAAAUCCGGUUUUUCCGUUUAAACUAAAAUGUUUAUUAAAAGACAAAAAAGGUUGUAAAGAUUUUUAUGAUAUGAUAACUUCACAAACUAUAACCCCCAAAGCACAAUUAAAAUAUGCGAACGAAGGAUUUAUGUACGAUACCAGGCAAUGGGAAAAGUAUUAUGUUAUUCCUUUUCGAUGUGUAAAAGAUUCAACCUUAUCAUGGUUUCAAUACAGAAUACUGCAUAGAAUGUUAACUACAAAUAAAUUUUUACACAUGAUACAUUAUGUUGACUCAAAUGCUUGUGACUUCUGUCAAAAUUCUCCAGAAACGAUACCACAUCUAUUUUUUGACUGCAAUAAGGUUAACCACAUUUGGGGAGCUACAAAACAUUGGAUACAGACUGAAACUGGAAUUGAUAUUUGUUUUAACCGAGAUAUUGUUGUUUGGUAUGGUUAAUAAUGAACACAGCAACUUUGUAAAUUGGUUAAUUAUCAAUAUUAAAUAUUAUAUUUAUAGUAUGAAAGUACAGAAAAAAGUAUUAAAUAUAAAUGGAGUUAAAAAUAUAUUGCGAAACAAAUUUGAAAUCGAAAGGUUUAUUUCAUAAAAAAAUUGUGAACAUGAAAUUUUCAAUAACCAAUGGACACAGUGGCUUAAUCUUUUUAACUGAAACUUCUUAUAAAUAGCUUGUUUCGAAUUACAGGUCAUUUCGUUUGUAAUUGCAGGUUUUUUCGUUUCGAAAUAUAAGUCUCUUUUCGUAGCAUAGAUUUUAAGUCUCCCCCCCCCCCAUUUAUUUAUUUAUUUAUUUAUCUAUCUAUCUAUCUAUCUAUCUAUUCAUUCAUUAAUUUCUUUCUAUUCUAUUGUAUUUUCUUUCUUUCCUUCUACUUUUCUCAACUCUUUCCAAGAUAUGAAUCAUAGCAUUUUGGCUUUCUUUGCCAAUCCCCAACCAUAUGGGAACACUAGAAAUAUAUUUAUAUGUUAAAUUACUAUAAUAUUAUGCAUUUUCACUUAUAUAGCAACUCUAUUGUAAGGCCAUGAAAUCAAGGCUCCCCUACCUUGACAUGGUCAAACUUGGCUGGGGAUAAUAAAUGAUUAAAAAAACAAAAAAACAAAACAAAAAAAAACAACAACAAUGUUACCAAUUAUACUCAAGCCACUUAAGUAUAAAGUAAAUGCAAGCAUGACAAUUAUUUUUCAGGGAAUAACCUCUUUUUAAUAAAACGAAAUACCGACAUAAA
rnacentral:lncRNA from 1 species